CCAAUCGUCCAGACCUUCUCUCGACCCAGGCAAGUCGCCUCCUUUCUUCCCCUUCCCUCAGCCCCGACCCCUCUCUGCCGCCUCGUUUCCUACCCCUUUCUCUUCUCAAUCUGAAUCCAUGGAGAUAGCCAGUAGGGAGGACGAGUAUGUGUUGGAGGGCGCUGCCGGCGGCGCCAAAAGUAGCUCAACAAGAACCACCGUCAUGCGGAGGCAUGACACUAUCGACACGGAUCCGCUUCGUCUGCGCCGGCAAGGGCCAACCGUUCCAGAUCCGACCAGGUACGAUGCAUCCUACCUUUUCCAACUGCCGAAUACUUCUCUAAAUCAUGGUGGGCACUGCCCAUGGAGGUUCAUAUGAAUCAAUUUACUUUGAGCAGUGCAGUGUCACAAUAGCAGCUCUCCCUUUUUUCCUUGCAUGUUUUAUAAUCUGCAUAUUUUGUUGUAAUGGCUGCAGUAAGGAGUAAGGCAGUAACAGAGUUGAAUCACUCAAUAUAUGCUGCCAUAGGGCAUGUAUUAGACUGUUAGUUGAUGCAGGGGAGUUGCAGCAAUAACAGGUGUUCACUUAGAUUCGAAACUCUGAAUUUUACUGAUUCCUGUCUUAGCCCUCUAAUCCCUUGAUAGAUUUGUGCCUAGCCACCUGAACUUUUUCUGGCGAGUUUACUGAUUUGGACAUCAAUUUCGAGCUUUCUUGGGAAUGUUUAGAAGUCUCAAAAUCAGCCUGGGUCACAUGCAGCAGUAAAAACGCAACAAAUAUAACAUUAUGCAGUGAGUUGUUGCUUUUUGAGCAGAAUAUCAAACUAUCAGCUUAAGUUAGCGAGAGCAAUAUAUCAGGCGUUCAAGAGCCUCAUUCACAAGGUAUAGCCGAAUACCAAUCGGUGACAAGCAGAUGUCAAGACGCAAGAUUAAAUGGUGGAUAUAAAAGUAGUUUCAACAGACUGUGCAGAGAGUUCACUUUGCAGAUGGUAAACUGUAGAUUUCCUGCUUCAUCCCCCCUCCGUAAAUUAGAGGGAAGGUUUUUAACAAAGUAGCUCUAGCUUUGAUCUACAAGACCAGGAUCGAUGCCACGCCAAACGCACAAGGCUGAAUUGAUUACACCACAACUAUGCAAAGCUGUCUUAUAUUCGACCUGGUAUGACAAUGCAUGAUGUAUUUUGAUCAGAAACUCAUAGACCAUGUAGCAUGCUUGGCUCUAGGUAUGGAUUAUCCUUUAUUUGAAACUCAUGAUGCCAGAAAUCCACAAAAAAUAAUCAGUUUUUGGAUGGAAAGCGAUACUACAGGAAGACAUCGUUCUAAUUAACUUAAUUGUAUAUGAAGCUUUGAGAAAUUUACAAUGAACAGAAGGCCUUUGCGACGCUGUAGAAUCAUUAUAAGAAUUCUACAAUGGUAUAAGACAGUUUAGCAGCUGAAGCAGAGGUUCAAGUAGACCUAGAUUCUGACGAAUGCAAUGUCACAAACAGAACCUAAAUUACUAAUCAUAUGCCAUGCCAUGUUUCAACCAAAUUGAACGUAAUCAUAUUACCAUAAUAGAGUUUUGGGCUCACAGAAGAAAUAAAAGAAAUCAUGAUGACACAUGGUAGGAAUCUGCACACCUUCCUUUGGAUCUCCUCUUUCUUGUCAUUGAUGGAUAGUGGCUUUUGCUCGCAGGGCAAGUUGCUGCUUGUUAUAAACCAGAGCAUUGAUGUCCGCUUCCAGCUGCUGGGCCAUGGGCUCCUCCAUCUGCUCCGCAAGCUCAUGAUCCGCGAUUUCCUUCUGAAGCUGCGUGAGAGAAACAGAAAUGCAACAUUCACAAUGCAGUGAUUGUUCCUGGUUCUAGAAAAUAUUGCAAGGAAUUUUUGCUACGUAUGAACCAAGAAAUGCGGCAUUUAGAUAUAUUUUGUAUGCUCCCCACCCGGGUUGAACAGCUGCAUCCACCUGUUGUUAUGGUAGUGGAAUCCCUCCAAUUAUAUCAAGAAAUAUAGUUCUUCGUUUAUCUGAUAGGGAUCCUAAUUGUAGCACCCUAGCCUGGACUUCUCAAGGGUGAACAUACUGAUGGAUGGAAACCAACCUAAUGAUUGAUGGUGUUAUCAUCAGGAGGCAGUGGACUAGCGGUGGCGUGAUUCAAAACUAUUGCUGAUUCUGCAUUUGAGGAUUUCAUGAAGCCAAGCGAUCCUCUUGUGCUCUGAGGAGCUCUGAUGUAUACAGGCAUCUGGUAUGAUCGCAUGCCUAAUUCAUACAUAGGAGUUAGUAUUGUAACUAUUAAGUAGCUCAAUAAUCUGUUUGCAAUAAAAUAAGUUGUUAUAUACGAUGGAGAAGUACUGAAUCUCUUAAAGCAUAAAGCCAUAAAAAUCAGCAUGCACUGAGGCCCAAGCACAAAGUAAAAAUGUUCUAAUUUCAAAAGAUUAAUUUAGUUUUGGUAGGGGUGCGUAGGUAUAAACAAUGAACCAUCUUUUCCAAAAAAAUAAACCCUGGACCAUUCUGCAUCCAGUAUAUUGACAUAUUAGUUGCUCUCUUGUUUCUGAACAUUUUUGAACGAGCUGAGAAGUACUCAAAACCUUAAGGCAUAAAGUCAUGAACAUCCUAGGCACAGAAUAAUCAUGCAGUGAAGAUACUUUAUUACAAACCAUGUAUGAUAUGACACCAACACCAAAUCCUUGAAGCAGUCGUCCCAUGUAGAGAAGUGAUGAGUCAUGUGGAUUAAACAUCGAUUAGCAAGCAUGAAGCUCGUAUCGUCGCGAGAAGAGAAAUGGCAGAAAAUAAGCUUGGGAAACAUGUGGGUGCAUCAUGCCAUACAUUCGUGAAGGAGAUGGCGAGCCAACCGAUGAUGUUCUGAAUCGCCACCAUCGUUAAUGACUGAAAAUUCAGUAGGCAUGUCCAUAGUAUAAAAGAUUAAAACUUUAGUGUAGUCAAGAAUUAAUUUGUUGCAGCUUGCAAGCAUAUGACAUGAACAAAAUAAUGAACCUUUUCAGAAAAAGUCUUCACCUACACAUUGUCUGCAACACCAAUUUCUCUUCUCUGAUUAUCGUAUCAAAUGCCACACGCAACUAAUUAAAUAACUCAUGAGAUUUGAGACUAAUACAAGCUCAACUCUUAAUUUUCAUUCGGAGGGAGGGAGGGGUCAAGAUUUUCUCACCCCUUUCUGUCCAAUGUGCUCGGCCAUCCGGCCGCUGGCGAUGGCCCCGACCAUGGCGCUAACUUGGACAGCGAGCCGAACACCAAGAACUGACGUGCAGGCACGAAGUUACUCAACAUCUUUAGUCCAAGAAGAAGUCGAAACAGAGCAAGCAUAGAGGCUCCAGGCACUACCUUCUCAUAGUUUUCAAUUUUUUUACUUAUGUUUUCAAUUUUUUUUAUAAAUUACUUUCAGUUCAAUCUGCUUCUCAUGAUUUCUGCAAUCUUCAAAUUCAACUUGUGUUAGAGGCUUUAGUUCUUACAACAUAUGAUACUCGCUUGAUCAUCAUGUACAUUGUAUAAACAUAAAGUGAUGCACUGAAUGCACUAUGCUCUUGUCCAUUGUUAUUGUGUUUAUUUCCUAUCGGUUAAGAUCAAUAUAUAACUCUCAAAGUUUUAACCAUGGGUGUUGGAGGAGAUAGAUCAGGCAGAACUACAACCUGAGGUUGUGCAGGUUUACGGAUACGUCUUGCCAAGGUUAUAUUAUUUUAGGCUUUGGCGAAUAAAAAAAUAUAGUAGGUAAAUAAAGCUCAGUUCGCCACUCAAAUAAUUAUGAAUACCAAUGCAGUAAAGGUAUGAUGUAUGCUUUCAAAUAACAUUAUAUAAUUCUUUGGUAACAUCACUGAAAACUAUUGAAUUGUGUUCUCUAAUUUAUUAUAGUUAGCUUUGUUUCAGAUUGGGUGUUAAUAGAAAACAUAUCCAUGCAUUGAUGGAUUCACAUUUGAAGGGAAACUGCUGAAAAUGAAAGGCGACAUAUUCGAUAGUUUUUUCUCUCAUUAUUCACAAUCUGAACUAGGUUCGGAAGACAAAAUCUGGAGCCUUACUUUGAAUGUCCAAGGAGGUGGAAGCACCAACAAUGCCCUCAACAGAGCUGCUCGAUCAAUUGGAUCUGAAUCCAAGGAUGACAUCCAACAAAAGGUACCCAACUUCCUUUAUUGCUUUAACCAUACUAGAGUAGCUGUAUAUGGUGCACUUGGCAGGGAUAUUAUCAAGGAAUUCCAAGAUGAUGGCUGCAUUUUGCAUUGAAAUUGGGAGGUGGGGCUCAAAAGAUACAGCGGUUACUGGCGGCGGCGGCGGCGAAGACUAGCCCGGGAUCUGGGACAAUGGAUGCAUUGAGCACGAGGUGAAGAUAAGCCACUCCAUCCACGGUCACUAUUUUGUUCAUUCUUUUUUUGGGGAUGAUUUCAGUACUCUAUCAAUGUGAUGUUAGAGCCAAGAUGCAUGUGUCACUUGUUUCAUCAAGUAACUUUAAAUUUUGUUCAUGA